UACAGAGGGGGCAAGCGUUGUUCGGAAUUACUGGGCGUAAAGGGCGCGUAGGCGGCCUUCUAAGUCGAACGUGAAAUCCCUGGGCUUAACCCAGGAACUGCGUCCGAUACUGGGAGGCUUGAAUUCGGGAGAGGGAUGCGGAAUUCCAGGUGUAGCGGUGAAAUGCGUAGAUAUCUGGAGGAACACCGGUGGCGAAGGCGGCAUCCUGGACCGAGAUUGACGCUGAGGCGCGAAAGCCAGGGGAGCAAACGGG
rnacentral:rRNA from 1 species